rnacentral:rRNA from 1 species
UACAGAGGUCUCAAGCGUUGUUCGGAUUCAUUGGGCGUAAAGGGUGCGUAGGUGGCGGGGUUAGUCUGGUGUGAAAUCUCGGAGCUCAACUCCGAAACUGCACUGGAUACUGCCUUGCUUGAGUACUGGAGAGGAGAUUGGAAUUUACGGUGUAGCAGUGAAAUGCGUAGAUAUCAUGAGGAAGACCAGUUGCGAAGGCGACUCUCUGGGCAAUUCCUGACACUGAGGCACGAAGGCCAGGGGAGCGAACGGG